rnacentral:sRNA from 1 species
AAUAUGAGCCCAUGGCAAACGAAAGUCAGGAGGUGGUAGCCAAGCAAUUCAAAAAGGAUCCAGAUCGCAGUGGCACCGCCUAGUACACCGGCAGAGAUGUUCCUGUUCCUCCAUAGGAACACAUCAGCGGCUGCAAAUAGAGAACUGAAAUCAAUAUGGCAGGAUGAACAAUGGAUAAUCAGGCUAUAUAACAUGAGCACAUAAUGGAAAUUUCACCUCAACCACAAAAUAUGACCACCCCUAUGGAGAGAGCAAAGGUGUUUAGAUCAUCAGCAGAGAGAGAGCAGCCAUACGUUUGCCUCCACCGAGGACCUUGUGGAUGGGCUCCUCGCGCCCGAAGAGGCGGAACACCUUGGCCUUGGCC